rnacentral:rRNA from 1 species
UACGGAGGGUGCAAGCGUUAAUCGGAAUUACUUGUAGUAAAGCGCACGCAGGCGGUUUGUUAAGUCAGAUGUGAAAUCCCCGGUCUCAACCUGGGAACUGCAUCUGAUACUGGCAAGCUUGAGUCUCGUAGCGGGUUUUAGAAUUCCAGGUGUAGCGGUGAAAUGCGUAGAGAUCUGGAGGAAUACCGGUGGCGAAGGCGGCCCCCUGGACGAAGACUGACGCUCAGGUGCGAAAGCGUGGGGAGAAAACAGG